rnacentral:tRNA from 1 species
UAUUGAAGGAAAAGUAUUCCUCUUUUUAACUUAAAUAGGUUAAACUGAAUGCAGUUAUUGAUAU